rnacentral:rRNA from 1 species
AUUGAACGCUGGCGGCAUGCCUUACACAUGCAAGUCGAACGGCCGCACGGGGGCAACCCUGGUGGCGAGUGGCGAACGGGUGAGUAACGCAUCGGAAUGUACCCAGUAUGGGGGAUAACUAGUCGAAAGAUUAGCUAAUACCGCAUACGCACUGAGGUGGAAAGCGGGGAUCGCAAGACCUCGCGCUAUUGGAGCAGCCGAUGUCCGAUUAGGUAGUUGGUGGGGUAAAGGCCUACCAAGCCUGCGAUCGGUAACUGGUCUGAGAGGACGACCAGUCACACUGGGACUGAGACACGGCCCAGACUCCUACGGGAGGCAGCAGUGGGGAAUUUUGGACAAUGGGCGGAAGCCUGAUCCAGCCAUGCCGCGUGAGUGAAGAAGGCCUCGGUUGU